GCCUGGGUGGCUCAGUUGGUUGAGCGUCCGACUUUGGCUCAGGUCAUGAUCUUGUGGUUUGUGAGUUCGAGCCCCGCAUCAGGCU
rnacentral:tRNA from 1 species